rnacentral:lncRNA from 1 species
UUGACCGAGCCGGCGAGCCCCUUUUCUGUCACUCAACAAGGUAAGAAGCCCUAAUUUGCUUCUCAUCUCUUGAUUCUCUUCCGAUUUCUUCCUCAGUUUUUGAUUAUCUCUCUGUUUCUUCCUCAAUCUCUUCUCCUCGUCUUCGAUUCCUCACCAAGCAUUCACGCCGCCGCCGCUGCUCCUCCUCCGCCACUGUCCGCCCCCGUCGCGCCUUUAGUCUCUCUCUCUCUCUCUCUUCGCGCGGGAGUGCGUGGGUGGGAUGCGAAGGAUCUUGAUCAGAUGGAAUAAAGUGAAAAGAAAGAAAAAAUUUACGUUUUCAUGUUCGUAGUGUGGGUAUACGGGCUUUAUCUUGGCAAAGGUUUUAUCUUUUUGAGUUUUGGGUAUGUGGGUUGCCACUGAUCUUGGAAUUUUAGAGCUCAAAACUUCCGGACCGGCGGUCCGGGAAACCAAAAUUGUUUCGCUCUUGAAAAUCAGAAUUUUUGGCGUCAAAAUCGGUUCCAUGGAUCCACCCGGGAACCGGACCGGACCGGCGGUCCGGUUCCCGGGUGGAUCCACCCAACAAACGGGUGGAUCCCAGUUCCAAUUUUUCGGAACCGGUCCUUAGCGGGCGGUUCCCGGUUCUAGGUCGGGA